rnacentral:rRNA from 1 species
AUUGAACGCUGGCGGCAGGCCUAACACAUGCAAGUCGAACGAGUGGCGGACGGGUGAGUAAUGUCUGGGAAACUGCCUGAUGGAGGGGGAUAACUACUGGAAACGGUAGCUAAUACCGCAUACCAUCAGAUGUGCCCAGAUGGGAUUAGCUAGUGGGUGGGGUAACGGCUCACCAAGGCGACGAUCCCUAGCUGGUCUGAGAGGAUGACCGGCCACACUGGAACUGAGACACGGUCCAGACACCUACGGGAGGAAGCAGUGGGGAAUAUUGCACAAUGGGGGCAAGCUGGAUGCAGCCAUGCCGCGUGUAGGAAGAAGGCCUGGGGGUUGUAAAGUACUUUCAGCGGGGAGGCGUUACCCGAAGAAGAAGCCCCGGCUAACUCCGUGCCAGCCGCCGCGGUAAUAC